rnacentral:rRNA from 1 species
UACGUAGGGUCCGAGCGUUGUCCGGAAUUACUGGGCGUAAAGAGCUCGUAGGUGGUUUGUCGCGUUGUUCGUGAAAACUCACAGCUCAACUGUGGGCGUGCGGGCGAUACGGGCAGACUAGAGUACUGCAGGGGAGACUGGAAUUCCUGGUGUAGCGGUGGAAUGCGCAGAUAUCAGGAGGAACACCUGAGGUGAAGACGGGUUGCUGGGCUGACACUGACGCUGAGGCGCGAAAGCCAGGGGAGCAAACGGG